GCCCACGUAGCUCAGCAGGCAGAGCGUCGCCUUGGUAAGGCGGAGGUCACCGGUUCAAGCCCGGUCGUGGGCU
rnacentral:tRNA from 1 species